CUCAGGGAAACAGAGUAGAAACCCCCAUUCUCCCACCACCACCCCCUUCUCUACUGAGAAUACAAAACUUAGUCAGGUGUGGUGGCAGGCACCUGUAGUCCCAGCUACUCAGGAGGCUGAGACAUGGGAAUCGCUUGAGACCGGAAGGGAGGAGGUUGCAGUGAGCUGAGAUUGAGCCACUGCACUCCAGCCUAGGUGACACAAUGAGAUUUCAUCUCAAAAAA